rnacentral:rRNA from 1 species
UAGAACGCUGAAGGAGGAGCUUGCUUCUCUGGAUGAGUUGCGAACGGGUGAGUAACGCGUAGGUAACCUGCCUGGUAGCGGGGGAUAACUAUUGGAAACGAUAGCUAAUACCGCAUAAGAGUAGAUGUCGCAUGACAUUUGCUUAAAAGAUGCAAUUGCAUCACUACCAGAUGGACCUGCGUUGUAUUAGCUAGUUGGUGGGGUAACGGCUCACCAAGGCAACGAUACAUAGCCGACCUGAGAGGGUGAUCGGCCACACUGGGACUGAGACACGGCCCAGACUCCUACGGGAGGCAGCAGUAGGGAAUCUUCGGCAAUGGACGGAAGUCUGACCGAGCAACGCCGCGUGAGUGAAGAAGGUUUUCGGAUCGUAAAGCUCUGUUGUAAGAGAAGAACGAGUGUGAGAGUGGAAAGUUCACACUGUGACGGUAUCUUACCAGAAAGGGACGGCUAACUACGUGCCAGCAGCCGCGGUAAUACGUAGGUCCCGAGCGUUGUCCGGAUUUAUUGGGCGUAAAGCGAGCGCAGGCGGUUAGAUAAGUCUGAAGUUAAAGGCUGUGGCUUAACCAUAGUACGCUUUGGAAACUGUUUAACUUGAGUGCAAGAGGGGAGAGUGGAAUUCCAUGUGUAGCGGUGAAAUGCGUAGAUAUAUGGAGGAACACCGGUGGCGAAAGCGGCUCUCUGGCUUGUAACUGACGCUGAGGCUCGAAAGCGUGGGGAGCAAGCAGGAUUAGAUACCCUGGUAGUCCACGCCGUAAACGAUGAGUGCUAGGUGUUAGACCCUUUCCGGGGUUUAGUGCCGCAGCUAACGCAUUAAGCACUCCGCCUGGGGAGUACGACCGCAAGGUUGAA